AUUGAACGCUGGCGGCAGGCCUAACACAUGCAAGUCGAGCGAGCGGCGGACGGGUGAGUAAUGUAUGGGGACUGCCCGAUAGAGGGGGAUAACUACUGGAAACGGUGGCUAAUACCGCAUACUAUCGGAUAACCCAUAUGGGAUUAGCUAGUAGGUGGGGUAAAGGCUCACCUAGGCGACGAUCUCUAGCUGGUCUGAGAGGAUGAUCAGCCACACUGGGACUACGACACGGCCCAGACUCCUACGGAUGCAGCAUUGGGGACGAUUUCACAAUGGUCGUAAGCCUGAUGCAGCCAUGCAGCGUGUAGGAAGAAGGCCCUAGGGUUGUAAAGUACUUUCAGUCGGGAGGCGUUACCGACAGAAGAAGCACCUGCUAACUCCGUGCCAGAAGCCGCGGUGAUAC
rnacentral:rRNA from 1 species